GCGAAUAGAAUGAUAUAAUUUCAAAUAAACACCUGCUUUCCGUACUUUUAUGUUGCAGUAAUGAUACACAUGCGCACGAUCAUUCCUUUUGUAUUCGUGGCGAUGCCGUUCAGGUCGCCCUGGAAUGGCUCUGUCCGAGGGCGCCCUCUGACGGCUGCAGACGCUCGCGCUCCCCGCCGGCCAGAGCCCCGAACGGCCCGGGCCCGGCCCGGCAGGGCGGCCGGGCGCCCUUCCCGCCGCGAGGGGGCGCGCGCUCCCUCCUCCCGCCGAGCCCGGACGUCGGGGCCGAGUCUGCGCGCAGGACCCGCUCGGGCGCCCGCGCGCGGAGGGAGGAGGCGCCCCCCGCGGGUGAGCGCGGGGCCCGCGGUCCUAAGCGCCGCCGCCCGCGCCCCGGGCCGCGCUCCGAGCCUCCGGGAAGGGCGCGCGGCGGGCGGCGGGCGGCGGGGGCGCACGCCGCACCUGCUCCCGCGGCGCCGGGGUCAGCGGAUUGGGGGUGAGAACCGGGGGCUGCCGGGAAACGGGGGGCUGGCGGCUGGUGUCGCCGCCCCUCGGCUUCCGUGGAGACCCGGAGCCCGAGGAGGGCGCCCCUCCCCCGUCGCCGCGCCUCCCAGGCCGCUCACUGGCCCCGGGGCCCGCAGGCGGAGCCGAGGGGAAACCCGUUCCUCGCAGACUGGAGGGCGCCGACGUGACGUUUUCCGUGGUUCGUGGACUGACGCCCAAAUCUCCGGAAUCAAGGCGGCUGCGUCUCGGGAAAAAAGGCGCUGCCCCGCCGGGCCUCGAACCGGGGCCCUUCGCGCGGAGGCGGCCGCGAUAACCGCUACGCCACGGGAGCGCUCGCGCGCCGGCCGCCGCGGGCCCGCGUGGUGAGGCGGCUCGGCCCCGGGCCUGGGCCCGUCGGCCGCCGGGCGGCCCGCGAAGGGCUCGCAGGGGCGCCGCGCUCUCCCCUCCGCUUCCGAAGAACCGAAACCCUGGUGUCCGAGCGAAAGCCUCACCCGGGGCCGCCACCCUCGCGCAAACUUCGGGCGCGAAAAGCCAGGCGGCGUCCCGGAGAAGGCGGCGGGGUCGGACUAAGCAGAAGGGUUUGCUUAAAAGAAUAACGAAAGCUGACGGCCAGCACUGCACGCACCUAAGGAGAACCGCAUGAUGGUCGGACUCACACGCACUGUCAACCGACCACCGCCGGAGAAUUUGACCUCAAGACCUCCGCGUGCCCUGGACACCGUCUCUGCCCCUGCGACGGAGCCCGAUUCGCCUCUCUCGGCGACCGCAAAGGACUCUCUGGGAACCAGAACGGAGCGGCUUGAGCUCGGGAGGCGGUCAGAAGCCCGAGCACUUUCUGCCACAGCCUCUUCCUCUGCAGGUAACUGACCAGAAGGGGUCGUGUGGCUCCAUCUCACGACCAGGCUUCUGCGACCCGUACGGGAGCACAUGAAACGCCUCGAGAACACCAUGGCUGGCCAGGAAUGCAAAUGCAGAAAGCUUUGUCCCCAAGGAACUCAGAGUCUAGUAGUUAGCUUUCCUUACAGAAGCAUGAUCUCUGUUCUACUGUUCCGUUGCCCAGGCUUACAGCCGGUACAAACAGGAAUCAAGACAAGAUUAUGUCACCUCCCGCUCGAAUCUCAUGCUCUCCCCAUCAUAGUUGAGCUGGACACAUGUUAAAGAAAAAAAAAUUAACAUGAGGUAUUAUGCCAACCAAGUUGGCAAUAUUUGGCAACAAAAUGUAAUGCCACGGUUGCUCUUGAUGAGACUCAGACUGAGAACAAGUCUUUCUAAAUUCGUUCUUAAAUGACUCCAAUAAAAAUGGACUGACUCGGGUAAAAGGUAAAUUCCUGUCUUGGGGAAUGGGUAAGGAUAGGAUAGUAAAAAAGGAAAGGAGUCAAUUGCAUGAUAGUUUAGUGGUAUGUGGGUCUGUAUUUUAGUCAGAGAUUUUGCUGAAAGUCGGAAAUAUUGCAGACUUUGUUUUCUGGAAUGAGAUAAGCUUAGAAGAGGGGAACUAUCACCUGUCUCAACCAUAUUUAGGGGAAUUAAUUCUACACUUCCAGAUUACAGCCCCCUAGUGCUAACUGGUAGAAGCGGUCCUUUGAGCCCAGCCUUAAGAGGUUAGUGUCCUCUUGUCCGAGAUAUUUGUAGUGGCCUCCUUGAGGCACUUAUCUGCUAAGCUCAGCUGAUACUCUCUAGCAUCUAUCACUACCACCUCUCUCCUCUCUUGAGACUCCAGAGGGCCAAGGACAAAGUGUGACCCAUGGGGAGGUGUGAUACACAUCAAAAUAAUUGCACGAUUUCCCAAAUUUAUACUGACAGAAACCUGGGCAAGUGUGAAUGGGAAUGGAUCUUAAGUGAAUAGGACCAAGGUGGCAGGAAUAUAAAGUUGCAUCAGACCAAGCUCACUGACAUAGUCUUACUUGGCAGAGGUACCCAGUUCAGUGUUUCAACUCAGGGACCUGGGAACAGCUCUAAAUUUUUAUUCAUUAAAAAAAGUAUAAUUAAUAAAUGAUUAAUAUAUGGACCCAAAGUUAGGACGAACCAACACAAUGAAAUUGAAACAUCAGUAUUUCCUUAGUGUAUGCAGAACAAACUAGAGGCGUAAGGAGAUUGAAAUUCUAGAAUGAAUGUAUCGUGGGCUUCUCCAGAGGGACUUGCACCAAGGUUGUGAGAAGGAAAUUCAUGAGGAGAGCCUCAGCAUGCCCGAUUUGCUCUGCGGUGACUUUUCCUCAUAGGCCAGAAAUUACAGGGGUUCCUGCUACCACUAAACUGGAAUCCCUGAACAUAAUGGCCAUGAUUGGAUCACAGGGUGAUAGGAGCCAAGUGUUGGCAAGGAAUUGCCAAAGACUAGAUGGGUGUUGUUACGAACUCAAAAUUCACAUGUUCUAAUGUGAAGCCCUAACCCCUAAUGUGACUGUAUUUGGAAAUAGGAACUUUCAGGAGGUAAAUAAGGUUAAAUGAGGUCAUAAGGGUGGGGCCCUCAUCCAAUAGGACUGGUUUCCUUAUAUGAAGACAAAGACAUACCAGAAAUCUCUCUCCGAGUCUGCGCAGAGGAAAGACCAUGUGAGGACAAGACAGGACCUGUGUCCUUUUACCAAAGUGACUGUGCAUUAGGGCAAAGGAAAUAGAAUUUUCUAGGAUUACUAGAAAAUGACUGGCAUUGAUUCCUAGAGGACAAAGCAUCACUGCUGUCCACCAAGCAAGGCAGAGACUCAAUGACUCAAUGACGUUUGCUUCUGGUCCAUUUCACUGUGGGCACAGUGGGUCCCUAAACCCACCCUUAGAUCAUUUCCCUAACUCCAGACAGUAUCUUUAGCAUCGUUUCUUUUAUUUAUUUUGAGAGAGAGAGCAUAGGGGGAGCGGCAGAGGGAGAGAGAGAAUGCCAAGCAGACUCCUCUUGGGGCAUGCAGCCAGAUCCAGGACUGGAUCCCAUGACCCUGGGAGCAUGACCUCAGUCGAAAUCAAGAGUCGGACGCUUAACCGGCUGAGCCACACAGGUGUCCCUACUAUUGUUUCUGUGACUGAUGGAGGGAAUGCUAUUACGGCAGAAAAGGCCAAGGGGAAGCCACUAGAAAUUCCUCUAACCGUGACAAUAGUAAACCCAGAGCAGCGCGGCUGUUCUUGGAGGGGUAGCAGGGCGUGGUGCCAACCUCAGGGACUGGAAAGAUGCAGGGGCGGAGAUUGCCUCCAUAUCUUCUUUCAGCUUGCCUAUUCAGCUGUCGGCGCUCUGUGGAGAAUGACAGUGAGCUACUGCAAAUUCAGUCAAGGGACUGUUCCAGUUGUAUCUGCCCUUCGGGUGUCGUGUCCUCGGCGGAGAAAAUCGGCACGUGCGCGGGCACGCAGUACACAGCUAUGGAUGAGGGACUCCUGAAUUCCUUGGUAGAGUAGAAGGAUUAGGAGAAAAUCAAGAUCUAGGUAAGAAUCACAGACAUUUCAAAGGAGCCUUUGAUUUGUGGAUGGACUCGAUAGUCUUCAUCCCAAGAUUACUUGAGUCUCCAAAGGGUUCUGUCAAAGGCCUGAGAAUCAAACCAAUGAAACUGCCCCACGGCUAGCCUUGGUUGGUCCCCGGUCUGUUGCAGAGCUGUGGACUGGGUAAAUGGCAAAGCUGAGGGCGGGGACUGGAGAUUGCUACAGAGUUACUCCACUCAGUGCUCUUUGCCCCUAAAGCCAAACAGGAUUUCCUGUAAAAACAACUCCUGGAAACUGUACGUUGUAAGAACUACACUCUGGCCCAGACCAAAAAUACUGCUUUCUCUGCAAAAACAAAAUACAUACACAAAAAAAACAGAUUUUGCAAGUUGUUACUCCUAGAUCCAAAGGAGGAAGUUUACACUAUUUAAAUUCUGUGAAUUUGGACAAAAUAGUCCAAGAUUGCACUGUGGAGAGAGGACUUCUUCCGCUUCUCCCAGAACACCCUAGAGCAAAUCAAGACAGCUCCCCUCACCAAGCUUUGAAAUCAGGGUGUGCAUUCCAGGUCUCGCUGGCCCUGAGUAGGGCCAAGCUAGAACCCCAUUCCAGAGCCUUCUUGCCUUGUUGCCUCAGGCUUCUUGACUGACUCCAGACUGACUCCAAAUUGCAAUUCACUCGCUCUGGGGCUCCUGGUGAGGCCUCCUUCAGAGCCCUCGUGUUGCUGAGUUCCAGAAAGGAAGCUCUCCGUUCACCAUUCAGAGGAGGCCUCUGGUAAAAACAGUUCCUGUCCCCCUCCUCAUUCGUAGUGUUUUCUUGAGCUCUUAUGUAAUAUUUUUUAGUAGGUACGUCCAAAGUCUAAAAUGGCAUGCAGUAACUUUCUCCUUCCUGCUCCUGAACAAUUCCAUCUCCUCAGUCUCCAGCCCCUCAACUGGUUACUGUUGUCAUGAGUUGACUGAUUACCCUUGAGAGAUUUUUUUUUUGUAAAAUGCAUAUGUAAUCUAACACAAAUGUACUUCCAGGGGUAGCAUUCUAUGCAGAUUGCUCUGACUGUUGUUUUUAUUUUAAAAUAUAUG